CUACGGGGCGCACCAGUGGGGAAUAUUGCACAAUGGAGGAAACUCUGAUGCAGCAACGCCGCGUGGAGGAUGACACUUUUCGGAGCGUAAACUCCUUUUAUAUAGGAAGAAGAUGACGGUACUAUAUGAAUAAGCGCCGGCUAACUCCGUGCCAGCAGCCGCGGUAAUACGGAGGGCGCAAGCGUUACUCGGAAUCACUGGGCGUAAAGAGCGUGUAGGCGGAUUAAAAAGUCAGAAGUGAAAUCCUAUAGCUUAACUAUAGAACUGCUUCUGAAACUCUUAAUCUAGAAUAUGGGAGAGGUAGAUGGAAUUUCUGGUGUAGAGGUAAAAUCCGUAGAGAUCAGAAGGAAUACCGAUUGCGAAGGCGAUCUACUAGAACAUUAUUGACGCUGAGACGCGAAAGCGUGGGGAGCAAACAGGAUUAGAUACCCCCGUAGUC
rnacentral:rRNA from 1 species